AGUAAUGCGUGACCAACCUCGCCCCAUGCUCCAGAAUAGCUCUUGGAAACGGGUGGUAAUGCUGGAUGCUCCAACUUGACGCAUGUCUUGUUGGGAAAGUGUUUAGUGGCAUGGGGUGGGGUCGCGUCCUAUCAGCUUGUAGGCGGGGUAAUGGCCCACCUAGGCUUCGACGGGUAGCCGGCCUGAGAGGGCGGACGGCCACAUUGGGACUGAGAUACGGCCCAGACUCCUACGGGAGGCAGCAGUC
rnacentral:rRNA from 1 species